rnacentral:rRNA from 1 species
CAUGCAAGUCGAACGGCAGCACGGAGAGCUUGCUCUCUGGUGGCGAGUGGCGAACGGGUGAGCUAAUAUAUCGGAACGUGUCCAAUAAUGGGGGAUAACGAGUCGAAAGAUUCGCUAAUACCGCAUACGCCCUACGGGGGAAAGUAGGGGAUCGUAAGACCUUGCGUUAAUGGAGCGGCCGAUAUCUGAUUAGCUUGUUGGUGAGGUAAAGGCUCACCAAGGCGA